UUGUUGCUUGACAAUGGGGUACAUAAAUAAUAAGGUUAUUGGGGAAUUAAUUUUAAGGAAAUAAAUUUGAAUCAUUUUAUUUCCUUUAAAAAAGAAUUUCGCACAAACCCUACAUUAUCUCGCGAAAAUUUUGUUUCCAAAGUUCAUCUUCUUAUUAUUUUAUUUUUUGACUACCUCCUUCAUCUGGGUUUCCCAUUUUUCUUCUUUUGCAGUUUUAGUAUACUCUUAACUGAGAGAUAUCACAACCUUUUGGUGGAAAAAAAUCAUCGGCUUAUAAAUAAGUCGUUCAACUGCUCUUUUUUUGCUUUGAAUUUGUUUACUUCAUAUGGCUAGGGCUAGGAUGGGUUGGGGUGGGGUGGCAGGCGUGGUGGUUGCAGUGGCCGAGGUCAUGGGUCUGGGGUUGAGAGUGAAGGUGGUGGCCGAAAGAAGCGCCGUGAGGCUUAUGUACCUAUAGAGGGCAACGUAUAUCGGUGUACAACAGAAAAGAAAGAGAUGAUUCGAUAUCUUGCUGUUUGGGGGAUCAAGUUGUCGAACUUUACUUUUGAUUUUGAUAUUGUCGAGGGUGAAAAAGGUUGAGUGAUACUAAAGAGGGUUUUAUGUUGCCUUUACAUCUAAAGGACGCAUGUUUCCAUUUCUUCUUCAUCCUUUUUUCUGUACUGUCUUUUAAGAGUAUAGAAUCGUACUGGGACAAGCUCCAACUUUUCUUAGUGGAAAUUGGUUGCAUACUUCAUUGAUUGCUGUCUUCGGGAUAAGCCUCCACUGCUGUCUGUUUUCCACAGAAUUGAUCGAUUGAAGGUUUCGAAUUUGGAAAACUCAUUGGGAAUGACAUAUUUUUGUCCCUGGGAAGGAUUUGAAUUGAUUAUCCGAAAUUGGUAAUCAAAUCUUUGGGUUAAUCGUUGUAAAUAUACAAGGGUGAAGCGAAAAUUUGGAGAUGACUUUGGUUUUCCUAUUAAAUGGUCCUUUCCAAGUACAGAUAUUUGUACACAACGCCAACCCCUUGAUUUCGAGCUCGUCACUACUCAAUAUGCGAGGCUAUGUAAGGGUCGUGUGCUGAAAUUAGAGGAUUUGCUAAUUUUGUGAAACAUUUGUCAUAUUACCAUCUGGAACUAGGUCGUAAUGGUUGUCGGGCAAUCGAUAUUAGGAACGACGCGAAUCCAGAUCUUAUGUUGCGUGCAGAGCUCGCCUAGUCCACAGUGCUUCUGAUGGUUUCGGGCUAAUUUUGUUAGGAAGAAAAAUGGAGUCUGUAAAUUUUUUAUAUCCCUAUUGUAAGUAGUGACCUCGCAAGUGGUCUUCCUUGUCUACCAGUGAUCAGGAAGGUUCUAAGAGCUCCCAUGCACUGGUAAGUGAUGUUGAUGGUAAUCUUGUUGGUGAUGCAAGCAUUGUUGGUGUUUGUGCUACAGAUUCAGAUUCAAGAGUGUAGUAGCCCGCUAGAAGAACUUAGGCACAUUAUGGAUAUAGUAUCUCUUAUGCAUGACUUGCGAGGUAGAAAAGACCUUGCUACUCUCGUUGGCGAAAUUAGCAAUAAGUAAACAAACGAGAGUACAAUAUGAAGAAAAUAAUCUAAAUGUACAACUUGUACAUUACCUAAAACCCCA
rnacentral:lncRNA from 1 species